rnacentral:lncRNA from 1 species
AAAGAACUGUCAUUGUCUUCUUCCAGAUUCUUCACAGAUACUUCCUCCUCUGGAGCUGACAAGAAGUGAGCCACACAGGGAAGCCUUGCCCAAGGGUGGGUGUCCCGGCCCGCAGGAAAUAUUACUCAGCAUCCUAUAUUUUCAUUUACUACCUCAGGGGAUCCUAGUUCCUGGGGCAAAGACCCUGGUCCUAUGACCAGAGAAACAGUAAAGUCACAGCAUGGGCCCAGGCUUGCCCCUGGAUUGGACUCUGAUUCUGACAUAUACAGAUAUUUGAUGCCAAGUCACAAAGGCCUGGGACUGCAGGAGGAGGAGAACAUUUUAUCACAGUACUUCUACUCUCCACUGGGCUUUUCUGCAUCCUGGAUAAUUGGAAUCCAGGACCAUGGGCGACCAGGAAGCUCCUCACUCAGAGAGACAUGAGAGCCACAGGAGCUCAGCAUCCAGGACAGCAGCCUGGACAACGGCUCCAUCAUUAUGGUCCCACAUUCCUGAUGACUGUCCCUCCCUGGCCACCAUCCUUCAGUAGCUGCCCUCGAGAUAGGUCAACUUCCUAGACUUCAUAUGGCUGCAGUAUUAGGUUGAGGGGAGCAGAGAAUGGUGGGACCUGGGGGGCAGCCUGCUUCAC